rnacentral:rRNA from 1 species
CCUGGCUCAGGAUGAACGCUAGCGACAGGCCUAACACAUGCAAGUCAGGGGCAGCACAAGGAGCAAUCUGAGGUGGCGACCGGCGCACGGGUGAGUAACACGUAUACAACCUGCCUGUAAGCGGGGAAUAACCCGUUGAAAGACGGACUAAUACCGCAUAAUACUAAAUUACUGCAUGGUAAUUUAUUUAAACAUUUAUGGCUUACAGAUGGGCAUGCGCAUGAUUAGCUAGUUGGAGAGGUAACGGCUCCCCAAGGCAACGAUCAUUAGGGGUUCUGAGAGGAAGGUCCCCCACACUGGUACUGAGACACGGACCAGACUCCUACGGGAGGCAGCAGUGAGGAAUAUUGGUCAAUGGACGAGAGUCUGAACCAGCCAAGUCGCGUGCAGGAAGAAUGUCCCUAUGGAUUGUAAACUGCUUUUGCAGGGGAAUAAAGUGCAUCACGUGUGAUGUUUUGUAUGUACUCUGCGAAUAAGGAUCGGCUAACUCCGUGCCAGCCGCCGC